rnacentral:lncRNA from 1 species
UUUCAGUCGCCGCCGACCCACCGCAAAGUUCGACGGUUCGGCCUUAUCUCUAAGCUAGCUCUAACCUCUCAGUCAGCCAUCUCACUCCCUCAGCCUUUCAGUCUCAGUCUUCCUAUUCAUAAUCUCGAACCGCUGAACCGCCGACCCACGGCUUUGCUUCGACCCACUACCAAGAGCCGCCUUCAUCUCACAACUCUCAAUCUCCCUCAGUCCCUCAUCUCAAAUUUCAUGAACCCAUUUGAGUCUUGGGGAAAGCGGAGGCCGGAACUCAGGAAGACGAGCAGUCGGAGUAGACAGGAGGAAGGAGGUGAGAAACUAAGAACGUGCGGACUGUGAAUCUGGUGAGGUAUGCAAGGCAGUGAUCUGCUUAAAAUUGCAAUGAGGAGCAAACUGGAUGUUGGAGAACAUGCAAUUCAAUUUGCGUGUGUUCAAAUCAUUCCCUUUGUGCAAAGGGUUAUCCCUAUUCACAGCUUCAGGCAUUUCCUCCAUUUGUGACACAAGGGAAGAUCUCUAGUGGUGCUCGCCCUCCUCAUGAUGCAGAUGGUACACACAGUUCUUAACUUUGUUUGUUAAAUAUGUAGUUGCUUUCGUAUGUGACUUCCCUACAUUGUUUCAGAUUUUUAUAGUCCUGUGAAUGCAAUUCAGUACCUAAUGGUUUGAAUGUUAAUUUUGUAGUGUACGAAGGAUGAUAGGUAUGGUUGAAUUUCAUUGUCUGUGUUUAGGAGUAUGAACCUGAGUAUGGAUGAUUAUUUGGGUGGAAUUCAAUAAGACCAUACAAUAGCCUAAAGAUGUGAUUUUAGUAAUUUAAAGUUGCUAAUAAGUGGACCAAUGAACUUAAACAUAUUGGAUGUUUGGAAUAUAAAAAAAAAACUUAGAAGAGCUGAUGUCAAUUAAUUGUAAUAAUGACUCAGCCCUCUCCAUGUUUCCGUUCCCAUUUUAUAUGGGUAUUGCCAUUCCUAAGAGUUGUUAAACUAUACAAGAAAAGUUAGUAAUGCUAUUUGUCAGGGGUUUUUGAAACUUCAACCUGAUUUCUUUCCAUACGAUGGAGCUAUCAAUGAAAAAACUUCUAACAGUCCAGAUUUGAAAUGAAAGAAUAAGGCUUUUGAGUAGCACAUGAUUACAUACUUAAAGCCUUGAAGGUCUGGUGCCAUCUCUUUUCUUUUUUUAAUUUAGGAAUUUGUGUAUCUUCUUAAAUCUGCAACUAAUUUAGAAUAUAUGAGAGUUGAUGCUUAUUUUUCUUGAUAUAUAUUCACUGUCCUGAACUUGCUUAUUUUUCUUAUUAUUUGUAUGCACUGCGUUAUAGGUUAGGAAAGAAGAGCUUGGAACCAAUGGUAGCUUUGCUAUAUUUUUGAACAUUUGUUUUGCUUAUAGGUUAGGAAAGAGGAGCUUGGAACCAAUGGUAGCUUUGCUACAACUGGUUUCUCUAUGUUGAAAGGUACUUAUAUAAAAAUGAAGGAAUAAUUUC